AUACGUAGGGUGCGAGCGUUGUCCGGAAUUACUGGGCGUAAAGAGCUCGUAGGUGGUUUGUCGCGUCGUCUGUGAAAUUCCGGGGCUUAACUCCGGGCGUGCAGGCGAUACGGGCAUAACUUGAGUACUGUAGGGGAGACCGGAAUUCCUGGUGUAGCGGUGAAAUGCGCAGAUAUCAGGAGGAACACCGGUGGCGAAGGCGGGUCCCUGGGCAGUAACUGACGCUGAGGAGCGAAAGCAGGGGGAGCGAACAGGAUUAGAUACCCUGGUAGUCCAUGCCGUAAACGGUGGGCGCUAGGUGUAGGGGUCUUCCACGACUUCUGUGCCGUAGCUAACGCAUUAAGCGCCCCGCCUGGGGAGUACGGCCGCAAGGCUAAAACUCAAAUGAAUUGACGGGG
rnacentral:rRNA from 1 species